rnacentral:rRNA from 1 species
AGUGAACGCUGGCGGUAGGCCUAACACAUGCAAGUCGAACGGCAGCACAGUAAGAGCUUGCUCUUACAGGUGGCGAGUGGCGGACGGGUGAGGAAUACAUCGGAAUCUACUUUUUCGUGGGGGAUAACGUAGGGAAACUUACGCUAAUACCGCAUACGACCUACGGGUGAAAGCAGGGGAUCUUCGGACCUUGCGCGAUUGAAUGAGCCGAUGUCGGAUUAGCUAGUUGGCGGGGUAAAGGCCCACCAAGGCGACGAUCCGUAGCUGGUCUGAGAGGAUGAUCAGCCACACUGGAACUGAGACACGGUCCAGACUCCUACGGGAGGCAGCAGUGGGGAAUAUUGGACAAUGGGCGCAAGCCUGAUCCAGCCAUACCGCGUGGGUGAAGAAGGCCUUCGGGUUGUAAAGCCCUUUUUUUGGGAAAGAAAAGCAGCAGGUUAAUACCCCGCUGUUCUGACGGUACCCAAAGAAUAAGCACCGGCUAACUUCGUG